GAGAAGGAGAACAGCAUGACGCUCUUAUGGAGAACUGUAAAAGCCUUUAGUUAUAUUCAAGGCUCCAUAGUGGGUGAGUGCAUUGUUGAAUGGAUGCGUACCGUGAUUAAAGAAAAAGGUGAAAUAGAACAUCCAUUUGGCAUCGAUGCUGCUAAGUGCAUUGCUAAGGAGGCUGAGUUGAUUUCUGAAUGGCUGAGGCAUGGGCGCCGUAUGCUUACCGAUGAUGAGUACACCUUGUGCCAUGAAAUCCGGGCUGUUGCUUGUAAACUUUUUGUUAUCCGUGGGGAGUGGACUGUUGAUAUUGCUUCUGCCCUUCUGGGUAUCAGAAAGGAGGCUGAGUGGUUGAUUGAGAACUUGAAGCGUUUUCCUGUUGAAUCCAUUAGUACCUCCAUGAAGAUUCGACAAUUUGCCUUGGAUUUUGUGUGGGAAAAGAUUGGUGAGUAUGCAUCAUAUAAGAAUAAGGAGAGCAGUGAAAGUGAAAUGGCUUCUGAAAGUGAUGCCGAUGUCACUGAAAGCAAUGAUAACGACUAUAUGGUUUGCUAUGACGAAGACUACUUGAAACUUGGUAUAUGAACGCAUGUUGAGACUUGAGACCAAAUAUAUCAGGCACAAGGUCUCGCCCCCUUCACCCGCACACGAGGCAAUAUCUUCAUGAUCAAAGCAAGAGUAAAGUAAAGACUGAGUUAACUAGAUAUCUCGAAGAUAUUCCUCAAGAAAAUGAUUUCCCUGAUGAUGAUUUUGACAUACUCCAGUGGUGGAGGGUGAACUCUUGCAAAUAUCCAAUAUUAUCACGCAUGGCACUUGAUUUGCUUGCUGUCCCUGCAUCCUCAGUUGCAUCAGAGUCUGCAUUUUCUACUGGAUCAAGAAUCAUUAGCGACUAUAGGAGUAGGUUGGCUAGUGGAACUGUGGAGGCAUUGGUUUGCCUUCAAGAUUGGAUGCGAGCCGAUGGUUUUGGUGAUCCAUAUUCAAUUCUAACUGAUACGGCUGAGGGCGAUGAUGUUAAUAUGCAACUAUUAGGACAUUAAAUCAUUUGACAUCUCAGGCAAAUUACCAUGUGAGUUCUAUGCAAUCUGGGUUCUGAGAAAUUUUGCUAGUUCUGGAGCAGUGGUCAGUGGAGCUUGCUUAGUUUCCCAGCUCAUAUCAGUGUUUCCCACACAUGUCAGAUUACAUCCAAAAUUUGUAUGAUGUAUUGGAAAUUUAGUUGAGCCUGGGAUUUCUGGACUUCUUUUCUGCCGUUGAGCCUGAAAUUCAUAUUUGAUUUUGCCUGGUGAAUUCUGCAUGAGUGACAGGAAUAGAUGCAAGGAUCAGGCGGCUUUGUUGCUGUCAGGAUAUGCAUGUCUUUUGAGUCCUUUUUUUCCCCUUUAUGCUGUUGUUAAGCUAUGAAUAUUUUGGAAAGGGAUUUUUUUAGGACAAUUUGAUUAAGGAUCGGUGGAUUUUUAUGCCAAAUUGUAGACUCUGCUUUUCGCUGCAGUCACUGUCUUUCAGAAGAUUUCAGGGCUCAAGAUGGUUACUAAUAUUUACUGAUUUUCUGUUUCAUCUGAAGAUUCACCCCUGCAAGCCUGCAUUUUUGCUUAUACUGAAGAACUCUGAGUCUUCAUGCUUGCAUACCAUAUAUCGCAGUUUUUUUUCCUUUCAUUUUGGUUUAAUUAGCAGAUGUAAUUGAUGCCACAGUUGAAGAGAAGGCAGUAAUUUUUCUUGCAUUGACAGUGACAA